UACGGAGGGGGCUAGCGUUGUUCGGAAUUACUGGGCGUAAAGCGCACGUAGGCGGCUUUGUAAGUCAGAGGUGAAAGCCCGGGGCUCAACUCCGGAAUUGCCUUUGAGACUGCAUCGCUAGAAUUGUGGAGAGGUAAGUGGAAUGCCGAGUGUAGAGGUGAAAUUCGUAGAUAUUCGGAAGAACACCAGUGGCGAAGGCGACUUACUGGACAGAUAUUGACGCUGAGGUGCGAAAGCGUGGGGAGCAAACAGG
rnacentral:rRNA from 1 species